rnacentral:misc_RNA from 1 species
GAUGAAGAACGCAGCGAAAUGCGAUAAGUAAUGUGAAUUGCAGAAUUCAGUGAAUCAUCGAAUCUUUGAACGCACAUUGCGCCCGCCAGUAUUCUGGCGGGCAUGCCUGUUCGAGCGUCAUUACAACCCUCAGGCCCCCGGGCCUGGCGUUGGGGAUCGGCGGAGCCCCCCGUGGGCACACGCCGUCCCCCAAAUGCAGUGGCGGUCCCGCCGCAGCUUCCAUCGCGUAGUAGCUAACACCUCGCGACUGGAGAGCGGCGCGGCCACGCCGUAAACACCCAACUCUUCUGAAGUUGACCUCGAAUCAGGUAGGAAUACCCGCUGAACUUAAGCAUAUCAAUAAGCGGAGGA